ACUUAAAAUCACUUUGUUGCUUUGGAGGUUGUCCCUCUAGAAGUUGCAGAUAUUUGUGUGCGUGGAUGCGAGUGAGAGAGAGAGAGGAGGGAUUUGUGGAAACCACUUUUUUUAUAUUAUUGCAUAAGACGUGUUGUUACGGAAAUAGUUCAGAUAUGUGACACACUAGCAUGGAGAUAAGGUGGUGAAAAGAAACCAAACUCUUUUAGAGGUGUUUUAAAGUCGAAGCA
rnacentral:lncRNA from 1 species